UACGUAGGGGGCUAGCGUUGUCCGGAAUCAUUGGGCGUAAAGCGCGUGUAGGCGGUCCGGUAAGUCCGCUGUGAAAGUCGGGGGCUCAACCCUCGAAUGCCGGUGGAUACUGUCGGGCUAGAGUGCGGAAGAGGCGAGUGGAAUUCCUGAUGUAGCGGUGAAAUGCGCAGAUAUCAGGAGGAACACCAAUUGCGAAGGCAGCUCGCUGGGACGUAACUGACGCUGAGACGCGAAAGCGUGGGGAGCAAACAGG
rnacentral:rRNA from 1 species